rnacentral:rRNA from 1 species
GUCGAACGAGAUCUUCGGAUCUAGUGGCAGACGGGUGCGUAACGCGUGGGAACCUGCCCUUUAGUAAGGAAUAACUCAGGGAAACUUGUGCUAAUACCUUAUAAUCCCUUCGGGGGAAAGCUUUAUGCGCUAAUGGAUGGGCCCGCGUUAGAUUAGCUUGUUGGUGAGGUAAUGGCUCACCAAGGCGACGAUCUAUAGCUGGUCUGAGAGGAUGAUCAGCCACACUGGGACUGAGACACGGCCCAGACUCC